rnacentral:misc_RNA from 1 species
AUCACCCCUCAAGCCUCGUGCUUGAUGUUGGACGGCUUGGUCGAGCCCCCUCGACCCCUCCUAAAGACAAUGACGGCGGCCUGUGGUUCCCCCGGUACACUGAGCUUUUAACUGAGCACGUAUCGGAUCAGGGUACCCGGGACCCGGUCUUCUCCUCUCAGUAGGAAACUUCUUCAGG